UAACGCGUGAGCAAUCUGCCUUUAAGAGGGGGGUAACAGUCGGAAACGGCUGCUAAUACCGCAUAAAGCAUCAAAUUCGCAUGUUUUUGUACGCCAAAGGAGCAAUCCGCUUUUAGAUGAGCUCGCGUCUGAUUAGCUGGUUGGCGGGGUAACGGCCCACCAAGGCGACGAUCAGUAGCCGGACUGAGAGGUUGAACGGCCACAUUGGGACUGAGACACGGCCCAG
rnacentral:rRNA from 1 species